AGAGAGAGACAUGUGCGCAUAUCAAUAAGCGGAGGAAAAGAAACUAACAAGGAUUCCCUUAGUAACGGCGAGUGAAGCGGGAAGAGCUCAAAUUUGAAAUCUUCAAGGUUUUACCUUGACGAAUUGUAGUUUAAAGAAGUGUUUUCUGCUGAAGUUUUGGUAAAAGUUCUUUGGAAUAGGACAUCAUAGAGGGUGAGAAUCCCGUAUUUGACCAUUAUUUUCAGCUUUGUGAUACACUUUCAAAGAGUCGGAUUGUUUGGGAAUGCAGUCCAAAAUGGGUGGUAAAUUUCAUCUAAAGCUAAAUAUUGGCGAGAGACCGAUAGCGAACAAGUACCGUGAGGGAAAGAUGAAAAGAACUUUGAAAAGAGAGUUAAACAGUACGUGAAAUUGUCAAAAGGGAAGCGUUUGACACCAGUGUCGUUUUCUCGAAAAUCAAUUAAAAAUGGCUCGAUUUUGUAUUGCUGAGACCUUAAAAGCUCACUGUACAUUUUUCGUGUCUUUUUUAAUGCACUUUUCGUUUAACAAGUCAACAUCAGUUUCUUUUGUUGUAAAAGGGUCAUUGGAAGGUGGCUUUCUUUUCGGAGAAAGUGUUUAUAGCCUUUGGCCUCUGCAAUCGUAAGAGACUGAGGUCUGCAGCGUAGACUCUUCGGGGUUAGAUACAUUUGUGCUAAGUUAUAGCUUUUUAUAGACAACUUGUUGACUAUAAUUAGUCUUGUAGCUUACUCGCUUAUGCUAUUUUACCUACGCUUAGGAUGUUGAGUCGUAGAGCACGCAG
rnacentral:rRNA from 1 species